UGCAGUCGAGCGACAGAUAAGGAGCUUGCUCCUUUGACGUUAGCGGCGGACGGGUGAGUAACACGUGGAUAACCUACCUAUAAGACUGGGAUAACUUCGGGAAACCGGAGCUAAUACCGGAUAAGAUUUUGAACCGCAGGGUUCAAUAGUGAAAGACGGCCUUGCUGUCACUUAUAGAUGGAUCCGCGCCGUAUUAGCUAGUUGGUAAGGUAACGGCUUACCAAGGCAACGAUACGUAGCCGACCUGAGAGGGUGAUCGGCCACACUGGAACUGAGACACGGUCCAGACUCCUACGGGAGGCAGCAGUAGGGAAUCUUCCGCAAUGGGCGAAAGCCUGACGGAGCAACGCCGCGUGAGUGAUGAAGGUCUUCGGAUCGUAAAACUCUGUUAUCAGGGAAGAACAAACGUGUAAGUAACUGUGCACGUCUUGACGGUACCUGAUCAGAAAGCCACGGCUAACUACGUGCCAGCAGCCGCGGUAAUACGUAGGUGGCAAGCGUUAUCCGGAAUUAUUGGGCGUAAAGCGCGCGUAGGCGGUUUUUUAAGUCUGAUGUGAAAGCCCACGGCUCACCCGUGGAGGGUCAUUGGAAACUGGAAAACUUGAGUGCAGAAAAGGAAAGUGGAAUUCCAUGUGUAGCGGUGAAAUGCGCAAAGAUAUGGAGGAACACCAGUGGGCGAAGGCGACUUUCUUGGUCUGUAACUUAACGCU
rnacentral:rRNA from 1 species